rnacentral:misc_RNA from 1 species
AUAAAUAUGAAUAGAGCAUGAAUAGAAUGAGAAUAGAGCAUGAAUAAAAUGAGGGAGGGGAUAGUAGCUAUAUAUGUAUAUGAAUAACUCACACCCUACAUUUCAUUAAGUAAAUUGAAUUUAAUCAAGGUAAAGUUCUAUAAAAACCCAGCUUUCUUAAAAUAUUAUCAACAGUUCCCGCAAGUUGAGUGUUUUUAUAGGAUAGCAAAAACAUUUAAAUUGAUUUGAUUUUUAUCAGAUCAUAGAAACCCACUUUCUAAAAUUCGUUUUUUUUAGAAUCCAACAUCAGUUGCGCAACAAUUUGGUAAACGGAUCAUUAUGGUAGAAGUAGGAAAAGAAUAAAUAAAUAAAUCCUCCCAUGAGCGUACAA